ACAGAGGAAUGGGGACUUGAGCAAAAAAACAUUCAAAGGCGCAGUGCUUUUGCUAAACAUCAAAUAAACAGAGGUGAGUUGACCUUUCACCCACACUCCUACGCUUAGUUGACUAAAAACAGAUGGAAUUUUUUUUACAUUUUCUCAUUCCAAACCCUGACUUAAACCCAAUUGAGCAUCUCUGGAGACCUGAAAAUGGCUGUCCACCAACGUUCACCAUCCAACCUGACAGAACUGGAGAGGAUCUGCAAGGAGGAAUGGCAGAAGAUCCCCAAACCCAGGUCUCAAGAAACAACCAAACGACAGACAAUGUAGGACAAAGGACAUUUCUUUAGCAGGAGCAUUUCUGGUUGGAUGCCAAUCUCAGCGUUUAUCUCUGAUUGGCCAUGGCAGACUCUGUUCCUGAUUUUGCUCUGCAGAGCUCGCGCUCAGCUAACACUGUUGUACUGGAGAGGGGGUUAGAGCAUGCAAGCAAACCCAGUGAAGCGUGACACCCGGGAGAGAGAAAGGCAAAGUGAUAUCAAAAGGUUCGGGAGUAGUUCUCUGCUGCAAGAUUGCUCAUUGGACGGCGGCUGGCACUUAGUAGUUACCCAUGGCCCAGAUAUUUGUUAAUACUCACCCCCCUAUCCGCUCCACCAUCUAUCCCCCACUCCAGCCUAGUAACCCUCCUCCCACGAAUUGGCCCUUGGUGCUCCCGCCCUCCCCCUCAAACUACCCCCUUCCGCUCAGCCGCAUUGCUGAAAAACAACAGAUCUAAUCUGACCCUAUUGCCAAAGCUCAUAGGAGCUCACAGUUAAAAUACUACAGGGUGUCCCUUAAGUUGACGGCAACAUGGUUUUAUUGUCCACGUACAUCUUGCUAAACGCCUCAACAUUUUGUAUCAAAAAUUUUGGAAGUCAUUUUGAAGAUGUUAUUUGUUAAUAUUCCAACUGCAUAAAAUGUUGCUGAAAAUGUCAUUUGUUGAACAUAUGCAUUUUUGCCCAUGUGUCCAGACUUUAGGGACUCCGUGUACAGUUCCAAGACUCCAAACAAACUUAUAGGGUGUUUUACUAUUUUUACACGGGACAGUAGGAAUUAGAGGGGGAAAUGCAAACCAUUGGUUGCAUCCCUUAUCCACAUUAUGAUUUUGCCGACAGCAUGCUUUUAUUUAUUUUUUUUUAAUUUUUAAAUCUGGGAGAUAAAAAAAAUAAAAUAAAAUAAAUGCUCCUAAAACACAAACACUUCCUUGAUAAUUUACUGUAUGUACUUAUUAUAUUGCAAUGCUUUAAGUUACCUGAAAUAUAAUACUUUAGGUUAUUAAUCAUACCCCUUGGGACAGAAGUUUCAAUUGUUGCAGAAAGUCAAGCUAUUUAUUAGCCCUAAUCUAGCUACUACGGCUGUUGUUUGGGUGUGUUCUCAUUGCUGAGGUGGGAUGGGUUGGAUUCGGGGGGCCUUUGCUGACACCCCCAAUAUCCCAAGCCUGUUUAAAGAUGGGAGAGAUGAGUGGGGGCAAGUACGUUCUUAAUCCGUCCCAUCUGUUGCA